rnacentral:rRNA from 1 species
CCUACGGGAGGCUGCAGUGAGGAAUAUUGGUCAAUGGACGAAACCCUGAACCAGCCACGCCGCGUGCAGGAAGACGGCUUUAUGAGUUGACAACUGCUUUUGUACGAGGGUAAAUCCCGAUACGUGUAUCGGGUUGACCGUCUCGUACGAAUCAGGAUCGGCUAACUCCGUGCCAGCAGCCGCGGUAAUACGGAGGAUUCAAGCGUUAUCCGGACUUAUUGGGUUUAAAGGGUGCGUAGGCGGGUCGGUAAGUUAGAGGUGAAAUCCCGGGGCUCAACUCCGGCACUGCCUCUGAUACUGUCAGGCUAGAGUUUAGGUGCGGUAGGCGGAAUGUAUGGUGUAGCGGUGAAAUGCAUAGAGAUCAUACGGAACACCGAUUGCGAAGGCGGCUUACCAGACUACGACUGACGUUGAGGCACGAAAGCGUGGGGAGCAAACAGGAUUAGAUACCCCAGUAGUC